rnacentral:rRNA from 1 species
AACGAACGCUGGCGGCAUGCCUAACACAUGCAAGUCGAACGAGACCUUCGGGUCUAGUGGCGCACGGGUGCGUAACGCGUGGGAACCUGCCCUUAGGUUCGGAAUAACUCCCCGAAAGGGGUGCUAAUACCGGAUAAUGUCUUCGGACCAAAGAUUUAUCGCCUUUGGAUGGGCCCGCGUUGGAUUAGCUAGUUGGUAGGGUAAAAGCCUACCAAGGCGACGAUCCAUAGCUGGUUUGAGAGGAUGAUCAGCCACACUGGGACUGAGACACGGCCCAGACUCCUACGGGAUGCAGCAGUGGGGAAUAUUGGACAAUGGGCGAAAGCCUGAUCCAGCAAUGCCGCGUGAGUGAUGAAGGCCUUAGGGUUGUAAAGCUCUUUUACCCGGGAUGAUAAUGACAGUACCGGGAGAAUAAGCUCCGGCUAACUCCGUG